rnacentral:RNase_MRP_RNA from 10 species
GCGCCCUGGAGAAAGUCUCCUGCCAAAUGAGAAGCAAG